UACAGAGGUCCCAAGCGUUGUUCGGAUUCAUUGGGCGUAAAGGGUGCGUAGGUGGCGCCGUAAGUCGGGUGUGAAAUUUCGGAGCUUAACUCCGAAACUGCAUUCGAUACUGCGGUGCUUGAGGACUGGAGAGGAGACUGGAAUUUACGGUGUAGCGGUGAAAUGCGUAGAUAUCGAGAGGAACACCAGUGGCGAAGGCGAGUCCCUGGACGACUCCUGACACUGAGGCACGAAAGCUAGGGGAGCAAACAGG
rnacentral:rRNA from 1 species